UUCACGGAGAGUUUGAUCCUGGCUCAGGACGAACGCUGGCGGCGUGCUUAACACAUGCAAGUCGAACGAUGAACCACUUCGGUGGGGAUUAGUGGCGAACGGGUGAGUAACACGUGGGCGAAUCUGCCCUGCACUCUGGGACAAGCCCUGGAAACGGGGUCUAAUACCGGAUACAACCACUAGGGGCAUCUCUUGGUGGUGGAAAGCUCCGGCGGUGCAGGAUGAGCCCGCGGCCUAUCAGCUUGUUGG
rnacentral:ncRNA from 1 species